UUUUGGAGGCUAAGCAGGGUCUGGCCUGGUUAGUACUUGGAUGGGAGACCUCACUAGGAAGUACCAAGGAUCUCCAGAAA
rnacentral:rRNA from 1 species